AAUGGUGAGAGUUUGCCUCAUCCGCACCGUGUGGCUGGGAAGAUUAAAGCCUAUAUUGAUUUCAUCUUAUUGAACAAUUUCAGAUCGAAGCAAUCCACUAGGCGUGAGAGCCAAACAUCAGUCCAGAAAUGGUCUCCGCCGCCGGAGGGCUCGGUGUUGAUAAAUGUUGAUGCUGCAAUCUUCUCACAGUCAUCACGAAUGGGAGUAGGCAUAGUAAUAAGAAGUCACCUGGGACUAGUGCUGGCAUCCAAAAGGAGGUAUGUGGACCAAGUGGUUAACCCUCAACUGGCGGAGGCCAUUGCUAUGCGUUGUGCACUAGAAUUUGCUGAAGAAGCGGGCUUCCAAAGAAUUGUUGUCGCAACUGAUUGCGCCACUUUGGUCAGCAAAGUGACAAGUGCUGCGAUGGACAGAUCUCAAACAAGUGUCAUAGUUUUUGAUAUUAAGAGUAGGGCUUCAAAGUUUGUAUCUUGUUUGUUUACUCAUGUUAGUCGGUCAUGUAAUAUGGCAGCUCAUGUUCUGGCAAAAUCAUGGGAACAUGAUCUUGGGUCAUGUUGGUUCGAUGAAGUUCCUGAGAUAAUCAGGAACAUUGUAUGUAAUGAACAAUCCCUGUUUGCAUAA
rnacentral:rRNA from 1 species